rnacentral:rRNA from 1 species
AGUGAACGCUGGCGGUAGGCCUAACACAUGCAAGUCGAACGGCAGCACAGUAAGAGCUUGCUCUUACGGGUGGCGAGUGGCGGACGGGUGAGGAAUACAUCGGAAUCUACUUUUUCGUGGGGGAUAACGUAGGGAAACUUACGCUAAUACCGCAUACGACCUACGGGUGAAAGCAUUGGAUCUUCUGACCUUGCGCGAUUGAAUGAGCCGAUGUCGGAUUAGCUAGUUGGCGGGGUAAAGGCCCACCAAGGCGACGAUCCGUCGCUGGUCUGAGAGGAUGAGCGGCCACGAUGGAACUGCAGCACGGUCAGUAAUCCUACGGGAGGAAGCAGUGGGGAAUAUUGGACAAUGGGCGCAAGGCUACUCCAGCAAUACCGCGUGGGUGAAGAAGGCCGUGGGGUUGGAAAGCCCUUGUGUUGGGAAAGAAAAGCAGCAGGUGAAUACCCAGCUGUUUUGGCGGUACCCAACGAAUAAGCACCGGCUAACUUCGUG